rnacentral:rRNA from 1 species
GACGGGGGAUGCAAGUGUUAUCCGGAAUCACUGGGCGUAAAGCGUCUGCAGGUGGUUUCCUAAGUCCACUGUUAAACCUUGAGGCUCAACCUCAAAUCUGCAUUGGAAACUAGGAGACUUGAGUAUAGUAGGGGUAGGGGGAAUUUCCAGUGGAGCGGUGAAAUGCGUAGAUAUUGGAAAGAACACCGAUGGCGAAGGCACUCUACUGGGCUAUUACUGACACUCAGAGACGAAAGCUAGGGGAGCAAAUGGG